rnacentral:tRNA from 1 species
GGUGAAACUGGUAGACGCGCCAGACUCAAAAUCUGGUAAGGGUAACCUUGUGUCGGUUCGAGUCCGACC